rnacentral:lncRNA from 1 species
GCCUGACCCACAAAUGGGACUUAAACACCGGCGCACACAGAUUUAUGCCGUGGGCUGGGCCUGGGAGUUGCAGCUCUUCAGGGUCUUCCGUGGUCAUUGCCCCACCUGCUGGUCACACUGGGAGUGACACUCAGGAGUGGCCCCAGAGCCACCCUCUGGGAAGUGAGGGGAUCCUUGGGAGCCCGAGGAUCCCAGGCGGCCCUGGUUGGGCAUCCCUGAUCUUCAAACCAACACUGAGUCCCGUGCCCUCCCUGUGAGCUCAGGACCAUGCCUUUCUCACCACUGUAGAUCCAAACUUGGCAUGUUUUGGCUGCCUGUGAGACUAAAGCAGUGAAUGCCACCCCUCUCCCCAAAGCAUCAAGAGGCUCACCCACUGCAGGGCCUGCCCCUGCCUUCCUCUCUUCACCCGGCUGGGCUCCAAGCUGCUCGGGGCUCUCACCCAGUCUCGCUGGAUUUCCUUCAGUUCCUUGAUGUCUGGGCUUCUCUUGCCUCAGGGCUUCCAUACAUGUCGUC